rnacentral:rRNA from 1 species
CGGGGCCCCAUUGCUUUUACACAUGCAAGUCGAACGGUCCUUUCGGGGAUAGUGGCGGACGGGUGAGUAACGCGUGAGAAUCUGCCUUUAGGACGGGGACAACAGUUGGAAACGGCUGCUAAAACCCGAUGUGCCCUUCGGGGUGAAAUAUUUAUAGCCUGAAGAUGAGCUCGCGUCUGAUUAGCUAGUAGGUGAGGUAAAGGCUCACCUAGGCGACGAUCAGUAACUGGUCUGAGAGGAUGACCAGUCACACUGGGACUGAGACACGGCCCAGACUCCUACGGGAGGCAGCAGUGGGGAAUUUUCCGCAAUGGGCGCAAGCCUGACGGAGCAAUACCGCGUGAGGGAGGAAGGCUCUUGGGUCGUAAACCUCUUUUAUCAGGGAAGAACACAAUGACGGUACCUGAUGAAUCAGCAUCGGCUAACUCUGUGCCAGCAGCCGCGGUAAUACAGAGGAUGCAAGCGUUAUCCGGAAUUAUUGGGCGUAAAGCGUCCGCAGGUGGUUUUGAAAGUUUGCUGUCAAAGCGCGAGGCUCAACUUCGUACCGGCGGUGAAAACUUCAAGACUAGAGCUAGGUAGGGGUCACGGGAAUUCCCAGUGUAGCGGUGAAAUGCGUAGAUAUUGGGAAGAACACCAGCGGCGAAAGCGCGUGACUGGGCCUGAGCUGACACUCAUGGACGAAAGCUAGGGGAGCGAAAGGGAUUAGAUACCCCUGUAGUCCUAGCCGUAAACGAUGACAACUAGGUGUUGCCCGUAUCGACCCGGGCAGUGCCGUAGCCAACGCGUUAAGUUGUCCGCCUGGGGAGUACGCACGCAAGUGUGAAACUCAAAGGAAUUGACGGGGGCCCGCACAAGCGGUGGAGUAUGUGGUUUAAUUCGAUGCAACGCGAAGAACCUUACCAAGGCUUGACAUGUCGCGAACCUUCUUGAAAGGGAAGGGUGCCUUCC